UUUUUUUUUUUUUUUUUGUCAUUUCUUGGGCUGCUCUCAUGGCAUAUGGAGGUUCCCAGGCUAGGGGUCAAAUCGGAGCUACAGCUGCCUGCCUACGCCACAGCCACAGCAAUGCCAGAUCCGAGCCUUGUCUGCUCCUUACACCACAGCUCAUGGCAACAGAGGCCAGGGAUUGAACGCACAUCCUAAUGGAUCCUAGUUGGAUUCAUUUCUGCUGUGCCACAAUGGGAACUCCCCUUCCUUUGUAUUUUAAAGAACAGUGUCUAAAGUAGGUCCCAUCCUUUUGUUAUUCUCAACCACAGUUCCAACGGUUGAGUGUCUCCUGGGAUAUGCAUGCUCUGUUCCAUUUCUUUCUUUUUUUAAACAGACCCAGAGUCCCAGAAGAAGUUAGAUGUUGUGCUUACAAACUGCAUACACAUGGGCAUCAUGGAAGUGCAAAACUCCAAUAAAGAAAUAAGCACAUGGUUUCUUAGUUCAUUUUUUAUGUUAAUGAUGAAAGUGCAGGUAAGAAAAUAAGAACUAGCCUUAAGGACAUAUAAGUGAUGGAAAGAGAAGGAAAAUUCUAGGUGGAGCCCAGAGAAGUUAUCAUUCUCUUCCUAUCAACAUUGGGUGGAUGUGCAGGCCCCUUGCUUUAUAGCAGCAGAACAAAAUAAAAUGACUGAUGAUCAAAGAAACUCACAGAUGCCUACAGAAUUAAAUUAUCAACCCACUUUGACAUUUUGCAAGUAUAAACAGAAACAGAAAUAACUAGAGGUGUAGAAAUAGUUGAAGAAGCCCCUCAACAUUAAAUUCUAAACUUCAAAUUUGAAACACCUAGAGAUUGGGGUUUCUCUGUAAUCUAUAAAUCAGCCUUGAUUCAAAGAAAUAGCCAGGCUGGCAUGGGGGAGCAACUUUAGAUCUGGCCAGCACAGGACCUGGGGAGGCUCAGUAGAGACCCACUAUCUGUUAAUAAGGAAGAAGACCCAAAACAGAGCCAGGACAAAUAAUUCUGUCAUUUUACUGUCAAAAGUGUCCAACCAUUCUUUAUUGUGAAAAGGAUACAUAAUUAAGCUGUAUCUUUAUAUUAUUAUUUUUUUUUUACUAUUUGGCAUAUUAUUCAUUCCCAGUGAUGUUUCAUUUCUCCUCAAAUGAUUCUUUUGCAACCUUUAGAAAGCCCUGCAAUUUCCUUUUCAUUUGGCCGAACGUGGCAGACACAGGAGGGAGAGCUUCUAAAUCCUGUUGCUCAGAAUAUGGCUUUUUUUUUUUUUUUUUUUUUUUUUUUGUCUUUUCAGGGUCGCACCCACUGGAAAUGGAGGUUCCCAGGCUAGGGGUCUAAUCGAAGCUACAGCUGCCAGCCUACACCAGAGCCACAGCAACGCCAGAUCUGAGCCACGUCUGUGACCUAUAGCACAGCUCAUGGCAAUGCCUGAUCCUUAACCCACUGAGUAAGGCCAGGAAUCGAACUCAAAACCUCGUGGUUCCUAGUUGGAUUCCUUUCUGCUGCGCCACAACGGGAACUCCCAGAAUAUGUUUAAAAAAAAAAAAAAAGCAGGACCCCAGACAGGUGUGUAACUGUUUGAAUGGGCUAUCUCUUAUACAACUAGGAAUAAGACCUACUUGGAAGAAGUUUUGCUCUAAAAACUGUUGAUGCUCUUGACUUAUUGAGGGGAGUUCCAUAAAAUGGCCAUUACCAACUGUAUAAGACAAAACUCGUGUUAGCUCGAAGGUUAGUCCCUGUUUUAAAAUCCCAAAAAAGAUAAACCCUAUUAUGGGCCAUUUCCACUUUCCCCACUGCUUCCCUGACAAGAGAUAAUGUGGGUCUGAGGAGGAAACUGAAGAUUCAUGGCCCAAAUAGAGCAGAAGUCUUGUCUUGUGUAACUGCCCAAAUGCUAAUACAAACUCAUUGUUGCUCAAUUUGUUCUUUAAAAGCUGUGCUUUAUUCUAUUAACUUUGAUUUGCCCUCUUAGCUUCUGUCAUUUUUCCAUACUGGACUGUCCUGGCAAUCCUCCUCACCUUUCUGUCUGGGUUUCAGUCUCUGACAGGGGCUCUGUGCCUAGGUCUCCCUGCCAGGAUCCAUCUGGCCCAUCGGUAACUAACAGUCAUCUUAGCCUUGUCCAGUGGUGAUAGCUUCACCCGUAGAUUUAACUGAGACAAAACUGAACAACUUACCAUAAAUAUCGGAGUCAAGAAAAAAUUAUUAGGAGACUAGGCGUACAUAAGUUUAGAUAAAAACAGAGAAGGCAGGACGACAGUGUGGUCCAAGUAAUUUUCUCUGUGCAAAGAUGCCUUCUAUUUAGUAUAACUAAACACAUUACUUCUGGGGAAAAAAAAAAACAACAACAAAAAUUCACACUCCAAAAAAGGGAGAAAAACUAGUAUUGAGAGCAAUUAUGAGUAUGACUUAAAAUGUCACUUUUCAUCUGUUGUACAGGAGAGUAAAUAUCAUGAAAACUUAACCAUGAUAAGGAAAAAAAAACACUUAACCAUGAUGAAAUAUUUGUCAAACAGUAUUUGUUCCUAUAUUAAGAAAUUAAUACCCACAUGCACAACUUUGAGUUGAUAGAAACUAAAAACUUAAGGUAAUAGAAUUAAGGAUUUCAUUUUCCUUUUUAGAGUUUUAUAUAUUUUUCAAAUUUUUUGGAAAGGCGUUUUGGAAAUAGAAAAAAAAAAAAA
rnacentral:lncRNA from 1 species